CAACCACAGAAGACUCUGCAUCUUCUCUGUAUUUCUUGGACAUGAAUCAACUGGUUUUGUGGAGACAAUGGAGACUGUUGACUCAGAGCAUACGAGACUCAAGGCCAGUUAUACCACUGAAAAGUCUCAAUCCACAGUCAACCUUCCUUCUCUCGCAUAAUCUAAAUCCAGGAUACUGGAGUGGCGACUGGAAACUCAUGGCUCAAGGUGUCCUUGGAUGCAAUGUUUAGGUUCUUUGUGUCUUGAACAAUGAACUGGACAAGACUCACGCGCACAUACACACCAGCAGUCAUACCAAAAGUAAAGAUUACUGAAGGCGAGGAAGAAAGCAGAGUGCACGUGCCACAGGACAGGACCAGAGGUCCAGGAGGAAGGAUGUGGCUCGAACCUUGAGGUUGUCCCCCCAACCCCCUCCCACAGGAUAUCAGCAGUGACAUCUCAGGCCACUUGCGAACACCAUUCUUGAAUCAGCAAUGGCAACUCUAUUCAGAAGAGUCUUUCUGUUUAUGAAGUCACAACCAGGAAACAAUGACCAGUGAAGAAGGCAAGACAAACCAAUGCUACAGUGUCAUCAUCCAAGCCCAAUGAAGACCAGCAAAGCGUGUCAAGGAUCAGGGAACUGUGUGGAAGAGCAGAUGGAAAGACUCUACGAGCCAGAGAUGAUGUGACUCCAGAAACUGGUGUGUUCUAGGCAUAAGACUGAUGCGCACAUGAUUUUACAGAGAGACUUUUUGUGUACAAGGCCUGCACAGUUUGAAGCCAGACAGUGUCCCAGCACGGAGAGGAAAAAGUGGAUAAAGCCCCCCUGCCCUAACCAAGAAGCUGUCUGCAAUUGAAGACUAAAUGAGGUCUCAUGUAUCUGUGAAAGAACUGGCCCUUUGAAAGAUCCUGUGCAGUUAACAAAGAUGGCAGGAUCUAAAUUCAGUAAGAAGAAUUAUAAAGGAAACUUCAAAUACAAAACAGCAAGUCACAAAUGGAACCGUCUAGGUUACCUUCAAGUGGCAGCCCGACAAUGAUACAUUUUCCCCUUCUUGUGGAUCCAUGUCUGUGCAAACAUAAUAUAUUCUGUAGCAGAAUCUGGAGAGGAAACUACUGAUUCAGCACAAAUCCCACUUUCGGAAUCUGCAGAGAAGAGAAUUCACAG
ensembl:lncRNA